AGGAGCCGAAUGAAACCAAAGUUUCAUGUUCGGUUUUGAAUUAGAGACGUUAAAAAUAAAAUGAAUCGACGUCGACUAUAAC
rfam:Vitis vinifera complete mitochondrial genome, cultivar Pinot noir clone ENTAV115